GAGCGAACGCGGAUUAGCCCAAACCAGUGUUGUUACGGCAAUACUGGGGUUGUAGGACCACGAUAUUCGAAGCUAAGUAAAUUAGAACUGUUUGGAAAGACAGACCACAGAGGGUGAUAGUCCCGUAUAAGUAAGCGAAGUUAAGAUAGUGGUAUCCUGAGUAGUGCGGGACACGAGUAAUCCUGUAUGAAUCCACCGGGACCAUCCGGUAAGGCUAAAUACUCCUGAGAGACCGAUAGUGAACUAGUACCGUGAGGGAAAGGUGAAAAGAACCCUAAGUAAGGGAGUGAAAGAGAUCCUGAAACCGUACGCCUACAAGCGGUCGGAGCACAUUUACUGUGUGACGGCGUGCCUUUUGCAUAAUGAGCCUACGAGUUACUCCUCACUGGCAAGGUUAAGCGUUUUAAGACGCGUAGCCGCAGCGAAAGCGAGUCUGAAUAGGGCGCGUAGUCAGUGGGGGUAGACGCGAAACCUAGUGAGCUACCCUUGAGCAGGAUGAAGGAGCGGUAACACGCUGUGGAGGUCCGAACC
rnacentral:rRNA from 1 species